UCAACAUGGAUACCCAUGGAAGUCACUCUGUUUAAGUGGCACAGAAGAGCACAGGGUUCCGUCCCAUGAUAUACAGUUCCUUUACACAAUGGUGGAGAUGAAAAUGGGAUUUGUGUCUGCACUUGCAUAUUCCUACAACUUCUCAGUCCUGUGGACAAUGAUUGAGAUGAUAAGCCAUGCAGUAAAUAAUG
ensembl:snoRNA SNORA73 Small nucleolar RNA SNORA73 family